rnacentral:rRNA from 1 species
AAAAAGUUAGUGGUGAAAUCCCAGAGCUUAACUCUGGAACUGCCAUUAAAACUUUUCAGCUAGAGUAUGAUAGAGGAAAGCAGAAUUUCUAGUGUAGAGGUGAAAUUCGUAGAUAUUAGAAAGAAUACCAAUUGCGAAGGCAGCUUUCUGGAUCAUUACUGACACUGAGGAACGAAAGCAUGGGUAGCGAAGAGGAUUAGAUACCCUCGUAGUCCAUGCCGUAAACGAUGUGUGUUAGACGUUGGAAAUUUAUUUUCAGUGUCGCAGCGAAAGCGAUAAACACACCGCCUGGGGAGUACGACCGCAAGGUUAAAACUCAAAUGAAUUGACGGGGACCCGCACAAGUAGUGGAGCAUGUGGUUUAAUUCGAAGAUACGCGCAGAACCUUACCAACACUUGACAUGUUCGUCGCGACUCUAAGAGAUUAGAGUUUUCGGUUCGGCCGGACGAAACACAGGUGCUGCAUGGCUGUCGUCAGCUCGUGUCGUGAGAUGUUGGGUUAAGUCCCGCAACGAGCGCAACCCUCACUUUUAGUUGCCAUCAUUAAGUUGGGCACUCUGAAAGAACUGCCAGUGAUAAGCUGGAGGAAGGUGGGGAUGACGUCAAGUCCUCAUGGCCCUUACGUGUUGGGCUACACACGUGCUACAAUGGUAUCUACAACAGGAAGCAAGACU